GACAGAGGGGGCAAGCGUUGCUCGGAAUCACUGGGCGUAAAGGGCGCGUAGGCGGGAUGGCAAGUCGGUCGUGAAAUCCUUCGGCUCAACCGAAGAACGUCGGCCGAUACUGCCGUGCUUGAGGACUGGAGAGGAGACUGGAAUUUACGGUGUAGCGGUGAAAUGCGUAGAUAUUGGGAAGAACACCAGUGGCGAAGGCGGUUCUCUGGGACGGUACUGACGCUGAGACGCGAAAGCGUGGGGAGCGAACAGG
rnacentral:rRNA from 1 species